rnacentral:misc_RNA from 1 species
UCCGGUUUGUCACCGGCAGUCUCCUAUGAGUCCCCGACAUAACUCGCUGGCAACAUAGGACAGGGGUUGCGCUCGUUGCGGGACUUAACGCAACAUCUCACGACACGAGCUGACGACAGCCAUGCACCACCUGUGCACGAGCCCCGAAGGGCUGCCGUGUUUCCACGACAUUCCCGUGCAUGUCAAGCCUUGGUAAGGUUCUUCGCGUCGCGUCGAAUUAAACAACAUGCUCCGCUGCUUGUGCGGGUCCCCGUCAAUUCCUUUGAGUUUAAGCCUUGCGGCCGUACUCCCCAGGCGGUCAACUUCACGCGUUAGCUUCGUUACCAAGGAAUUACUUCCCCGACAACCAGUUGACAUCGUUUAGGGCGUGGACUAC